rnacentral:rRNA from 1 species
AUUGAACGCUGGCGGCAGGCCUAACACAUGCAAGUCGAACGAGUGGCGGACGGGUGAGUAAUGUCUGGGAAACUGCCUGAUGGAGGGGUAUCACUACUGGAAACGGUAGCUAAUACCGCAUACCAUCGGAUGUGCCCAGAUGGGAUUAGCUAGUAGGUGGGGUAAAGGGUCACCUAGGCGACGAUCCCUAGCUGGUCUGAGAGGAUGACCAGCAAGACUGGAACUGAGACACGGUCCAGACACCUACGGGAGGCAGCAGUGGGGAAUGUUGCACAAUGGGAGCAAGCCUGAUGCAGCCAUGCCGCGGGUAUGAAGAAGGACAUCGGGUUGUAAAGUACUUGCAGCGGGGAGGCGUUAACCGCAGAAGAAGCACCGGCUAACUCCGUGCCAGCAGCAGCGGUAAUAC